rnacentral:lncRNA from 1 species
AAGAACAACUUAAUUUUAUGAAAAACCCAAAGAUAUUUUCCGAUGAAAAAAACAUCUUGUUUGAACAAACAGAGUUAUAAAAUAAAUGUUGUAUGUACCAUUAGAAGCUGUGAAGUAAAUAAAUUUUUGAAGUAAACAUAAAAGGACUUUGAAGACGACCUAUGGGCUAAAAAAUCCUGCCUUUCUACAUGUUAUACCCUAUUAAAAAGAAGCAAACUAAAAAAAGAUAUAGUUACAUCAAUCUUUGUACACAAAAACACUCCUUAAUCUUGCAAAAAGUUGAAAUACGAAUUGGGCAUCUUCUGAAUCAAGACGCAGUAAAUAAUUGAAACUAUUAAAUGAACAAAUAAACUCGUUUCACUCCCCCAAUAUACUCAACAGUUUGUCAGAGAUCCACUGAAAGUUAUUUUUAGAGCAAGAGCUUAGUUUUUAUCCUUAUCAAAAUCAUAAGUUGCUUCCAGUGUCAAAGUUUGUGUGUAUUGAAGACUAUAAUGUGGAACUAAAAGAGAUGCUUACAAAAAUUUAAAAAAUUGAUUUCUUUCUAAUGCUUCGUAUACCAAUGAGUUAAAAUUUGCAAAUUUUGCUCUUUUCAUCAUCAAUAAGGAUAGAGGAAGAGUCAUAAAUACAAUGGACCUCGUUUAUAAGUACUAUACGUGCAGUAAAGUUAUGUUAUGAUUUUUAAGCUGAUAAAUUUCAGCGUCUAAUUUCAUAGUUAGAAGCUAUGACCGUUCUGUUAAUGUGCGAGAAAAUAGGAAAGGCAAGAGACAUGUUAAUCCUGGGCAAAUGGAAGAGUGAAUAAACUGUCAAAUACAUCUUAAAUUCAUUGUAUAUAUCUAAAUCCAAAAAUUAUUGUAUUUUAUAUAAUGAUUGUAUCAAUAAUAUUGUAGCAAGUAAA